rnacentral:tRNA from 1 species
AGGUAGUUAGUUUAAUUAAAACCUUUGAUUUCGGCUCAAAAACCUGCGGUUAAAGUCCGCAACUACCUA